UACAAGAAUUCCACUAAACCUCAAUCUUACUCUGCAUGAAGGUUGCAAUGGAUAAGAGGGGAGGAAGCAGUUGCUUUUUCUCUCAGGGUGAAUAUAACAGAGUUAAUUUCUGGAUCAGUUUCUUGAGUCACAUCCAAGGUCUAAACUAAGUUACAAGAGAUGAAGAAAAAGUCCAUAUGCAAUACCUGCCAUGAGCAACCAGAGAGGGAAACAGGCAUGACCUCUUGCCUCGUCCUCACCGCAUCUAUUCCAGAGCAGCAAACCGUCACAGACAGUAAGCAACUGCAUGUCUGUCUUGGAUGCAACACAUUCCCUCUCUUCUGGAACAAACUGUAAGCAUGAAAUAAUUCGGGACUCAACAGUUUGCUCACACUACUACCUGAAGGCUUCCCUGGGGCAUUAUGAUGUCCUGAUACUUUGUGCAGUUUUCCACCAGCCUCCUGAUCUUCUAGGACCAGAAAGCAUUAUGUGGAUCCUGCCUUGUAAGGAUCUUGGGAUUUUCCAGAAGGCUCUGACCUAGUCAAGAGCAGACUGCAUUUAUAGUCAGUUUAAACUGAGGUGGAGGAAACCUGGACUUCAGAUGCUGGAGAUUUUCAACUUCAAAACACCCUUGGAUAGACUCUAGCAGGCAGAGCCUAGACAGAGCCUGGGAGCCCCAAUUCUUUGUGAGCUUUGCAGUGGUUAAUUUUGGAGCUGCCUAGAAGCACAGGCUGAGGAAAAGGACCCACAAGAGAGAAAAGAGUGAAUUUUAAACACCUGGAGGAGAAAAUACCAAGAAAACAGUAUGUCCUCUUCUGCUGAAGGCUUAAUCAACUUUGACCUGAGUCUUCUGGCUUGAGGAAUUUUGGAUCUUGCUACCUGAAGGACUGACUGUGUGCAUUUGUUUCAGAAGGCUUGCCUUUCUGCUGACUCUCUGAGUACUGCUGACUCUCUGACUUCUUUAAAAGAAGACAAGGGCUGGCUCUGUUUCAGCAUUGAACUCAUUCACUAGUCUAGGCAAUGGAGUGGCUCCAAAGAAGGAUGAAGGAGAACUGCUAAUCAUGAGUGAGGAUGGUGGUAGGGAUGAACCUGGUUAUCUUCACUGAAUGUUUUGGAGGGAAAGGUUUUUGUCUGAGAAUGAAGACUGUCAGGAGACCUGGUAGCAGCUAGAGAAAAUAGCGUGAGUAUAAAGUUGAAUCCAAGUUCUUCUAAGAGGGAAGACAGUGAUAGCACAGGACAAGAGACAUCAAACACAAUGUGUUUGGAAAUUCUCAUGUGUUAUUAGGAUUUUUUUUUCACUGGAAGGGUGAUGUAGCACUAGAAUUGAUGACAGGAGAGUCUGCAGGAUCUCCCACCUCAGAGAUAACCAGAUGUUGACUGGAUGAAGCCCUGAACAAAUGUGACCUCAGCAGGCCUUACUCUGAACAAAUAGUUUUCCCAAAUAACCCUAUGGAGGUCCCUUCCAGCCUGCAUUAUUCUGAGAUUCUGGGUCAGAUCCUACAACUGGCAAUAGAAGGACCUUGGGUAUCAUGCUUGAGGAUGGAGCAGCGUGAGUGUCUGACUCAUGAUUAGGUUGGAGUCACUCAUGAAUUCAGUGUAUUUCAUGACAGAAUGUCAAAUUCUGUGGAGAACCUGACAGCUACAAACUUUCUGAAUCUGCAAGGCAAGAAAUUAUUUGCUGACUCAUAUCACUAAUAAAUACUGGUAUUUAUCCUAUCCAGCACUGUCAGAUGAUCCCUUUGAACUUUUCAUGAUGCUUUACACCAAGGCAAAGAGCUUAGUUCCUGUGAAAAGGCAAAGGUAUUUUUUGGGCCAAAUUUUCAAAGCCUCCAGUUCCUCAUCUGAAACUUGGUAGGCAGGGAAAAAGAGUCAAGCAAAAUGGCAGUGGGAUGGAUCAAAGCAAAUGCUCUGGGCUACACCCUGCUCUUGAGGGAUGUUCUGGGGACAAAGAUGUCUGUUGGUACUUCAUCACAAUGGUAAUGCUCUACAUUGCAGUGGUAAGUUGACAGAUUGCUAUUUACAUCAAUAUUUUCUGCUGAAAAGCAAAAUUCAAGGAGCAGCUCUGAUAUUUUAACUUAUUUUUGUGGGAACAUGGCCAGCAUUGCCCAUAAUUCAUACUAUGGUAUGACUAGGACUCUGGUAUGUCACACAGCAUUUCAAAACUGAGACUGACAACUUCUGAAAUUAAGCUUAGUUAAGCAUGUGUUUUGUUAACUAUAUUAUGUACCCACAGCAGCUUUUUAUAACUGAAGAACAAGAUGACUUCUCAUUAUCUAGCUAGAUAAGUGCCACUCGCAAAAGAGCAGAAGUUUAAUUUGGUCAAAAAUCCCUGUUUCAGUUAUAUUCAAAAUGCAGAAUUUCAUGGAGAUUUGUUUUCAUUUGCAUUUCCAUAGCAUAGAAAGGUGGCUGGAGGAACCAACAGUAGUACCUCAGAUUGCUGCAGCAGCUGCCUCUAUGUUUGUGCCCCAAAAACAUUUCCUUGUCUCAUCGUAAGUGCCUGUUUGUGCCCUGCAUGCAGUUUGAUCACUCCCAUCAUGCAAAGCCUGGCAGAGAUGUGGUAUUUCCUACAUGAACUGCCAUAUCUUCCCAGCUCACAAGUGAAAGGCUAAACAUUAAGCAGAGACUAACAAGAUUUCAGUUCUGCAGCACAUUUUAAUUUUCAGCAGUUUGUAUUCUGCCAUAUACCCAACAGUCUUUCCUAAGGGAAAAAAGCAACAUAAUUAACAUGGGGUAAAUUUCAUUCAGUGUACUCUGUUUCCUUCCAUUAUUGUAUUUGCCAGAGGUGCUAUUUAGCAAGAAGUUUUCUCACGUUAUUUUGUACAAUCCAAGUGGUUUUAGUUUGUCGGGGGGGUUGUUUUGUUUUGUUUUGUUGGGGUUUAAUUUGUUUUCAGGAAAGCACUAUUUUAGAGGUUACAUUUUCUGAAGCCAUUGGAUUUAAGUCAUUUUAGAUACAUAGUAAAAAGGGAGGAGACAGUAAGAACUAAGAAAUAUUAUUUUUCCCAAUACUGGUAAGAACAUCCUCAUCUGAGUCCCAUUAGAGAAGUAACCGCCUACAUUAAUAAAAUAAACCAAUAUACAAUUGCUACCAGUCUUAAUGCAGGGGCUGAAUGACCUAAUUUAGUAAUUCAUUUAUGAUGUGUUUUAGUAGUGUGGCUUCUCUUGUGUUACCUGAGUAAAUAGAACAGAUGCAGAUGCUUGCUAGAGAUUUAGAGUCUCAUAAUUUUUUCUUUACAGUCUAACCUGGAUAUCCCUUAUAAAUUCACUGGUCCACACUUACUGGACUCAGUCUUCAAAGUGGGCAUGAAAGCUAGAAAUGCAAUAUUUAUACUUACAGAUCCAACUGUUGUAACUCAUAUCAGUUGAACAGCAAGAAUAAGCUAGAGAAACAGGAGUAGAGCAUAAAUCAUCUCUUUUAUUAAUAAUUUUCCACUGUCUUUAAUGAAGCUGUCUUCUUUAUAAUCUCCGACAUCGUGAAAAGUUAUUACACUGUCUUUGUAGAGGCCUUUUCAAUCUCUUGCAGAUCUACAGUAAUUUCACGAUUACAAGCCG